rnacentral:misc_RNA from 1 species
GCCAAGAUCUUGAAGAGUCGAGAACAUCUCUUGAAGGGAACUGUAAUACUGCUCUUUCAGCCAGCAGAGGAAGCUGGGAAUGGAGCAAAACGGAUGAUAGGAGAUGGUGCUCUACAGGAUGUGGAGGCUAUAUUUGCUGUUCAUGUCUCCCACGAACAUCCUACUGGCAUCAUUGGUUCAAGGCCUGGUCCUUUAUUAGCAGGCUGCGGCUUCUUCAGAGCAGAAAUUAGUGGCAAAAUGGGCGGUGCUGGGAACCCACAACAUUCUGUUGACCCAAUUUUGGCAGCUUCCGGUGCGGUUAUAAGCUUACAGAGCAUUGUAUCUCGUGAAGCAAAUCCGCUGGACUCCCAAGUCGUGUCCGUUACCACCAUGGAUGGUGGCAACAAUCUUGACAUGAUUCCAGAAACUGUUGUACUUGGCGGUACCUUCAGGGCUUUCUCCAACGCAAGUUUUUAUCAGCUUCUUCGAAGAAUAAAAGAGGUGAUUGUAGAACAGGCAAG